rnacentral:lncRNA from 1 species
GUGGCUUACAGAUGAACCAGUUUGGGUAGGACAAUGGCCUAUGACCUCUGAGAAGCUAGAGGCUUUAGAAAAGUUAGUACAGGAACAGCUAGAUGCUGGACAUAUAAAGGAAUCUACCAGUCCUUGGAAUUCUCCUGUAUUUGUUACCAAAAAGAAGUCAGGUAAGUGGAGAAUGCUGACGGACCUGAGAUCCAUAAAUAAGUCCCACACAGCCAAAGAAGACCUGCCUGACAGCAAUCCCUGGACACCCUGGAAAGAAAAUGGGCCACACCUCCUCGACUGCACUGGAUCCAACUUGCUCCAUUUCAACUGACACUCUGGCCAAACCUUCGGAUACUGACUUCAAUCAAGUUGAGGAUUUCAAGCGAGAUCUUCUAUCAAGAGAAUCCUAUCUAACAUGGACUGGAUACAAUCCAUUCAAGACUUUUUACUACACUAAUAUAUUCU